rnacentral:rRNA from 1 species
AGUGUUGCAGUUAGAAGCUCGUAGUUGAACUUCAGACCUGGCCGGGCGGUCUGCCUAACGGUAUGUACUGUCUGGCCGGGUCUUACCUCUUGGUGAGCCGGCAUGCCCUUUACUGGGUGUGUCGGGGAACCAGGAUCUUUACCUUGAGAAAAUUAGAGUGUUCAAAGCAGGCCUAUGCCCGAAUACAUUAGCAUGGAAUAAUAAAAUAGGACGUGCGGUUCUAUUUUGUUGGUUUCUAGAGUCGCCGAUACUGAUUAAUAGGGAUAGUUGGGGGCAUUAGUAUUCAGUUGCUAGAGGUGAACAUUCUUGGAUUUACUGAAGACUAACUACUGCGAAAGCAU